rnacentral:tRNA from 1 species
GCUUCUAAAGGAUAACAGCUCAUCCAUUGGUCUUAGGGGCCUUAAACUCCUGGUGCAGGUCCAAGGAUUGAUU